GACCGCGUAGCUCAGUUGGAAGAGCAUUGGAGCUAGUAUUCCAAGGUCGUAGGUUCGAAUCCCGCCGUGGCCA